rnacentral:tRNA from 1 species
GGGGGUUUAGCUCAGCUGGUUAGAGUGUAUGCUUGACAUGCAUAAGGUCGCUGGUUCGAUUCCAGUAGUCCCCA